rnacentral:miRNA from 1 species
AAUAUCAUCUUACCAAAUUAUGCGUAUUUAAGGUGAUAAGUCUGCAUAUGCGCAGAACGUAACUCCUUACGCUUGGACAUUGUGGUGAGAAGAUGUUAACAAAAGUUGUUCGUCUUGAUGAGGGCUACAACUUUGCUUAAUAUCGUCUUACCAAAUUAUGCUUAUUUAAGGAGAUAGUUCUGCGCAUGCGCAGAACGUAACUCCUUACGCUUGCAUUUUUUGGUGAGAAGAUGUU